rnacentral:rRNA from 1 species
AGUGAACGCUGGCGGUAGGCCUAACACAUGCAAGUCGAACGGCAGCACAGUAAGAGCUUGCUCUUACGGGUGGCGAGUGGCGGACGGGUGAGGAAUACAUCGGAAUCUACUUUUUCGUGGGGGAUAACGUAGGGAAACUUACGCUAAUACCGCAUACGACCUACGGGUGAAAGCAGGGGAUCUUCGGACCUUGCGCGUUUGAAUGAGCCGAUGUCGGAUUAGCUAGUUGGCGGGGUAAAGGCCCACCAAGGCGACGAUCCGUAGCUAGUCUGAGAGGAUGAUCAGCCACACUGGAACUGAGACACGGUCCAGACUCCUACGGGAGGCAGCAGUGGGGAAUAUUGGACAAUGGGCGCAAGCCUGAUCCAGCCAUACCGCGUGGGUGAAGAAGGCCUUCGGGUUGUAAAGCCCUUUUGUUGGGAAAGAAAAGCAGCAGGUUAAUACCCCGCUGUUCUGACGGUACCCAAAGAAUAAGCACCGGCUAACUUCGUG